rnacentral:lncRNA from 1 species
AUUUUAUGGGUUUAACAUCAACAUUUCAUCAUUCACAUAAUUCAAUCAAAUUACAUAUAUUUAACAACAACAUUUUCAUUAUUCCAACAAUUCAAUCAAAUUUCAUGGGUUUAACAACAACAUUUUCAUUAUACACACAACUCAAUCAAAUUUCAUGGGUUUAACAACAACAUUUUUAUCAUUCACAUAAUUCAAUCAAAUUCUAUCAGUUUAAAAAUAACAUUUUCAUCCUUUACAGAAUUCAAUCAAAUUUCACGGGUUUAACGACAACAUUUUCAUCAUUCAUACAAUUCAAUCAAAUUUUAUGAGUUUAACAACAACAUUUUCAUCAUUCACACAAUUCAAUCAAAUUUCAUGGGUUUAACAACAACAACAUUUUCAUCAUUCAUAAAAUUCAAUCAAAUUUCAUGGGUUCAACAACAACAACAUUUUCAUUAUUUACACAAUUUUAUCUAAUUUCAUUGGUUUAACAUUAACAUUUUCAUCAUUCACACAAUUCAAUCAAAUUUCAUGAAUUUAAGAACAACAACAUUUUCAUCAUUCACACAAUUCAAUCAUAUUUCAUGGGUUUAAGAACAACAACAAAUUCUUCAUUCAUACAAUUCAAUCAAAUUUCAUGGUUUCAACAACAACAACAUUUUCAUUAUUCACACAAUUCUAUCAAAUUUCAUUGGUUUAACAUCAACAUUUUCAUCAUUCACACAGUUCAAUCAAAUUUCAUGGAUUUAACAAGAACAACAUUUUCAUCAUUCACACAAUUCAAUCAAAUUUCAUGGGUUUAAGAACAACAUUUUUAUCGUUCACACAACUAAAUCAAAUUUCAUGGGUUUAACGACAAUAUU